rnacentral:rRNA from 1 species
CACCCGCAGCUCUAGUGGUGGUCACUUUUAUUGAGCCUAAAGCGUUCGUAGCCGGUCUUGUAAAUCUUCAGAAAAAUUCUCCCGCUCAACGGGAGAUCCUNUGAAGAGACUGCAGGACUUGGGACUGGGUGAGGUUGAAUGUACUUCUGGGGUAGGGGUAAAAUCCUGUAAUCCUGGAAGGACAACCGGUGGCGAAGGCGUUCAACUAGAACAGAUCCGACGGUGAGGAACGAAGGCUAGGGGAGCAAACCGG